rnacentral:rRNA from 1 species
UACGUAGGGUGCGAGCGUUGUCCGGAAUUAUUGGGCGUAAAGAGCUUGUAGGCGGUCUGUCGCGUCUGCUGUGAAAAUCCGGGGCUCAACCCCGGACUUGCAGUGGGUACGGGCAGACUAGAGUGUGGUAGGGGAGACUGGAAUUCCUGGUGUAGCGGUGAAAUGCGCAGAUAUCAGGAGGAACACCGAUGGCGAAGGCAGGUCUCUGGGCCACUACUGACGCUGAGAAGCGAAAGCUAGGGGAGCAAACGGG